rnacentral:rRNA from 1 species
GAUGAACGCUGGCGGCGUGCCUAAUACAUGCAAGUCGAGCGAACAGACGAGGAGCUUGCUCCUCUGACGUUAGCGGCGGACGUGUGAGUAACACGUGGAUAACCUACCUAUAAGACUGGGAUAACUUCGGGAAACCGGAGCUAAUACCGGAUAAUAUAUUGAACCGUAUGGUUCAAUAGUGAAAUACGGUUUUGCUGGCACUUAUAGAUGGAUCCGCGCCGCAUUAGCUAGUUGGUAGGUUAAAGGCUUACCAAGGCGACCAUGCCUAAACGACCUGAGAGGGGGAUCGCCCACCCGGGAACUUGGACACGGACAAUACGCCUACGGGACGCAGCAGUCGGGAAUCUUCCGCAAUGGGCGAAAGCCUGACGGAGCAACGCCGCGUGAGUGAUGAAGGUGUUCGGAUCGUAAAACUCUGUUAUUAGGGAAGAACAAAUGUGUAAGUAACUAUGCACGUAGUGACGGUACCUAAUCAGAAAGCCACGGCUAACUACGUG